rnacentral:rRNA from 1 species
ACGGGUGAGUAAUGUCUGGGGAUCUGCCCGAUAGAGGGGGAUAACCACUGGAAACGGUGGCUAGUACCGCAUAACGUCGCAAGACCAAAGAGGGGGACCUUCGGGCCUCUCACUAUCGGAUGAACCCAGAUGGGAUUAGCUAGUAGGCGGGGUAACGGCCCACCUAGGCGACGAUCCCUAGCUGGUCUGAGAGGAUGACCAGCCACACUGGAACUGAGACACGGUCCAGACUCCUACGGGAGGCAGCAGUGGGGAAUAUUGCACAAUGGGCGCAAGCCUGAUGCAGCCAUGCCGCGUGUAUGAAGAAGGCCUUCGGGUUGUAAAGUACUUUCAGCGGGGAGGAAGGCGAUGUGGUUAAUAACCGCAUUGAUUGACGUUACCCGCAGAAGAAGCACCGGCUAACUCCGUGCCAGCAGCCGCGGUAAUACGGAGGGUGCAAGCGUUAAUCGGAAUUACUGGGCGUAAAGCGCACGCAGGCGGUCUGUUAAGUCAGAUGUGAAAUCCCCGGGCUUAACCUGGGAACUGCAUUUGAAACUGGCAGGCUUGAGUCUCGUAGAGGGGGGUAGAAUUCCAGG